rnacentral:rRNA from 1 species
AGCAAACGCUGGCGGCGUGCCUAAUACAUGCAAGUCGAACGGGGAAAGUAGCAAUAUGAGUACUAGUGGCGCACGGGUGAGGAGCGCGUGGGUAAUCUGCCUUCGAGCGGGGGAUAACUAGUCGAAAGAUUAGCUAAUACCGCAUAAGACCACAAGAUCUGCGGAUCUAGGGGUCAAAGCAGCAAUGCACUUGAAGAUGAGCCCGCGUAAUAUUAGCUAGUUGGUGAGGUAACGGCUCACCAAGGCGAUGAUCUUUAGCUGGUCUGAGAGGAUGAUCAGCCACACUGGAACUGAGACACGGUCCAGACUCCUACGGGAGGCAGCAGUAGGGAAUAUUGCGCAAUGGGGGCAACCCUGACGCAGCGACGCCGCGUGAGUGAUGAAGGCCUUCGGGUCGUAAAGCUCUGUUAUAUGGGAAUAAGUUCUGAAUGUACCAUGUGAGAAAGGAUCGGCUAACUUCGUGCCAGCAGCCGCCGUAA